CUGACAGUUCCUUUAAUGCUGCUCUAUUUCCAGACAUCUUUGAGAAGCAAAGCCUCGCAGAAGCAAUAUGCACUCUGAAGCCAGGAAGAGAGUCACGAAUCCGAGAGCUGCAUCCAGAUAGGAAUUUCAAGAGGAUCUUCUAAGGAAGCCCGUUGGAAAAUGCAGGUAUUUCUGGAAUGCACCGUAUUAAGAAGAAGCCAUGGAAAGGGAAAAUCAGCUCUCACCAGAAGCUAACUCCUCAAGUUGCCAAAAAAAUAUUCUCCUGUGUUGGAUGAACGUUACCUUAAAACUUGCUCUCAAAAUUCAGUCCUUGCACCUACAUCCUGGAAGGAGGCAGAGAGGAAGUUUGUUCGCUUGAUCUGUCCUUGCUUCCACCCCACUGAUGGUUAUUGCUCCUUCAGCUUUGCCUCCCAAUGUAAAGUGCUAUUAUAGGUCUUUGCUCUUCUGCAGGUCAGACCUGAAGUCAUCUACACAACGGUGCUAUGAUUUACAAAGCAGCCUAAAUCAGCUUUAUUCUUCCCAAACUGUGCAUCUCAGCAACCAUCCAACACCCUUGUAUUGUAUACAUAAUGGGGUUUCUGCAUUCAGGCCUGGCUGCACUAGGUUGACAGCUAUGAACAUGGCAGCUUUUUGGUUCUUCCACUGAGACUGUCAGUGAUUCAAAUUAAAUUGGACUUUGGUUAGGUGAGUAAUUCAUCAUUUGCAGUGUGACAAUACCUGUAAUUAUUGCUCUUACUGUUAUGGCUGAAACUCAUAUGCAGUAAAGGGAUCUUAAUAUCAUGCCAAACCUCACAGUUAAUUUAGGUUCUAUCUCCUUUCAUUUAUUCUCUAAUAAGCUAAUUAGUUCAUAUAAUUUGCCAUUGAACGUGCCUUUGUAACAAAUAUAUACAUGAAUUAGUCUAUUACACAACAAAUGA